AUGAACGCUAGCUACAGGCUUAACACAUGCAAGUCGAGGGGCAUCAGGAAGAAAGCUUGCUUUCUUUGCUGGCGACCGGCGCACGGGUGAGUAACACGUAUCCAACCUGCCCUUUACUCGGGGAUAGCCUUUCGAAAGAAAGAUUAAUACCCGAUAGCAUAAUGAUUCCGCAUGGUUUCAUUAUUAAAGGAUUCCGGUAAAGGAUGGGGAUGCGUUCCAUUAGGUUGUUGGUGAGGUAACGGCCCACCAAGCCUUCGAUGGAUAGGGGUUCUGAGAGGAAGGUCCCCCACAUUGGAACUGAGACACGGUCCAAACUCCUACGGGAGGCAGCAGUGAGGAAUAUUGGUCAAUGGGCGGUAGCCUGAACCAGCCAAGUAGCGUGAAGGAUGAAGGCUCUAUGGGUCGUAAACUUCUUUUAUAUAAGAAUAAAGUGCAGUAUGUAUACUGUUUUGUAUGUAUUAUAUGAAUAAGGAUCGGCUAACUCCGUGCCAGCAGCCGAGGUAAUACGGAGGAUCCGAGCGUUAUCCGGAUUUAUUGGGUUUAAAGGGAGCGUAGGUGGACUGGUAAGUCAGUUGUGAAAGUUUGCGGCUCAACCGUAAAAUUGCAGUUGAUACUGUCAGUCUUGAGUACAGUAGAGGUGGGCGGAAUUCGUGGUGUAGCGGUGAAAUGCUUAGAUAUCACGAAGAACUCCGAUUGCGAAGGCAGCUCACUGGACUGCAACUGACACUGAUGCUCGAAAGUGUGGGUAUCAAACAGGAUUAGAUACCCUGGUAGUCCACACAGUAAACGAUGAAUACUCGCUGUUUGCGAUAUACAGUAAGCGGCCAAGCGAAAGCAUUAAGUAUUCCACCUGGGGAGUACGCCGGCAACGGUGAAACUCAAAGGAAUUGACGGGGGCCCGCACAAGCGGAGGAACAUGUGGUUUAAUUCGAUGAUACGCGAGGAACCUUACCCGGGCUUAAAUUGCAGUGGAAUGAUGUGGAAACAUGUCAGUGAGCAAUCACCGCUGUGAAGGUGCUGCAUGGUUGUCGUCAGCUCGUGCCGUGAGGUGUCGGCUUAAGUGCCAUAACGAGCGCAACCCUUAUCUUCAGUUACUAACAGGUUAUGCUGAGGACUCUGGAGAGACUGCCGUCGUAAGAUGUGAGGAAGGUGGGGAUGACGUCAAAUCAGCACGGCCCUUACGUCCGGGGCUACACACGUGUUACAAUGGGGGGUACAGAAGGCAGCUAGCGGGUGACCGUAUGCUAAUCCCAAAAUCCUCUCUCAGUUCGGAUCGAAGUCUGCAACCCGACUUCGUGAAGCUGGAUUCGCUAGUAAUCGCGCAUCAGCCACGGCGCGGUGAAUACGUUCCCGGGCCUUGUACACACCGCCCGUCAAGCCAUGGGAGCCGGGGGUACCUGAAGUACGUAACCGCAAGGAUCGUCCUAGGGUAAAACUGGUGACUGGGGCU
rnacentral:rRNA from 1 species